rnacentral:snRNA from 1 species
GUGCUUGCUUUGGCAGCAUAUAUACUAAAAUUGGAAUGAUACAGAAUUGCAUGGCCCUGCACAAGGAUGACACGCAAAUUUGUGAAGUGUCCCAUAUUUUU